rnacentral:rRNA from 1 species
GAUGUCCUACGGGAGGCAGCAGUGGGGAAUAUUGCACAAUGGGGGAAACCCUGAUGCAGCAACGCCGCGUGAGUGAAGAAGGUUUUCGGAUUGUAAAGCUCUGUUAGCAGGGAAGAGGAAGGACGGUACCUGCAGAGGAAGCCACGGCUAACUCCGUGCCAGCAGCCGCGGUAAUACGGAGGAUGCGAGCGUUAUCCGGAUUUAUUGGGUUUAAAGGGUGCGUAGGCGGUCCGUUAAGUCAGCGGUAAAAUUGCGGGGCUCAACCCCGUCGAGCCGUUGAAACUGGCAGACUUGAGUUGGCGAGA